UUAACUUUAAAAUCUAUAGCUAUACAGCAAUCUCCCUCUCAGUUUAGGAGGGCCAUCCUAAGAAUAGAGCUCACUCUAAAGGCAUGAGAGGACAAU
rnacentral:snoRNA from 1 species